GGGCGCGGGGGCUGCGGGGACCGCGGGUUCGUGCCCGCUGCUUGUCAUUCCUGAGUGCUCAGCGCCGGCGCUGGGGAAUUUACCCUUAUUUGGUCGUUGGGCGACACAAAUUCCGCCCUCUCCCCCUCCCUCCCAUACACACCCUUCUUCAGCCUCGCCCCGCUUGUGUUAGGGCUGAACGGGCGCCCCCCCCCCCCCCCCGGGCGCGGAGCCCCCCGAACUGUCAUGGCGAAACGUCCUUUACACAAACACACACGCUCCGCGCUCUCCCUCCGUGGCUGAGGGAAAGUCCCGCCGAGCCCCUUUUUAGCCUUAUUUCGGCCGAACUUGGGCUGACACUCCCUGGUCUCCGCGGGGAGAGCGGGGCCGGUUUGUCCCCGAGCCAAGGGAGCCUCUUGUUGCUGCUGAGGGGCUGCUGCGGGAGGGUACCUGAGGGCAGGGAAUGGCACCGGGCUGUCCCCUCCUGUCCCAGCACCACAACUCAGGGAAUGGCACCGGGCUGGUCUAUCCCGGCAUCAGAACUCAGGGUGUAACCCACAGCUCUCCCCUGCUGUCCUGGCACCAGAACUCAGGGAAUGGCACCAGUGCGGGAUUUGGGGGCCCUGUUGCUGCGUGUUCCUGCGCGGUGACCAUUCUUGAAGCGCCUCUAAAUUCUUGUCUGUUGUGCUAAUGUGAGAUGUCGUCACGCCUACGUUUAGCAAAAGCUGUGGAGCUAUUAACUCGGAGCUAGGAAAGUGCUUUGAUGAAAAUAUAUUAAACAUAAAAACCUGCUGUGGUUUCUCCAAAUUAUUCCUCCUUGCUUUGAGACAAACACUGAAAAAUAUUCCACUUGUAGUAAGGAGGGCAAAACACCAUCCCGAGACCUUUUUUUUUUUUUUCCAGGGAGUCUUAGUGAGCUGCUCCUUUUCAGUAGGUGCUUUAUAAGUGUUACUAAAAGUUUGCUGCCCUUAGACUUUACAAGAUACAUGAGAGAAGGAUUAAAUUCACUGUAUGAUUAAAUCAUCUUUCAUUAGCUUUGUCCCUGGCCCUCAGCACUAUGCUGUAGCAGGCCUUGCAGAAAAUAUAUUACAGUUUUUCCCAGAGUGAUCUGUCCUCACACAAUUGUUACAGGCACUGGAACUCCUGAUCAAAAACAUCCCUGUUUCCAUUAGUGUGUUUUUCAAAGCCUUUUUAUAACAAAUGAGGGCUCCACCUCCUUUGUGUAUUGUGUGUAUGUAUUUUUGAGGUGGAAGAGCCUCAGUUUCUGACCAUAAAUGUUGUACAUGCUUAAAUAUUAUUCUUCCACAGAUCCUGGUCUUUUUUUUUUUUUUGUCCACACAAGUUCUUACGUUAGAGAGAUCCGAAAGAAUGGAAAAUGGAAACCAUCGGCUGUCCCCACCUCCGAGAGGAGCUGCUCUGUAUAUACUGUGUGCAUAUUUCUUUGAUGGGAAGGUGUCGGUUUCUCUUGUAGUUAGACCAGUGACUGAUUCAUCCCUGAACCAUCUCUUCCUGUAAUUCACUGUUACUUCAUUCAGUUGAUUGUAUUAUAUGGAGCAGGGAGAAAUGCCAGGGCAAUACGAAGAGCGGAGGUUGAUAAAUUCCAUUUCAGCUGAAAAGUUUAUGUUGUUUAUUAUUUGUAUCCUUGUGAGGACUGUCCCUUAGGAACACUAGUAAUGCACAAGAACCCUGUUUUGAUAGCUGCAGUACAAACUCAGACCUUGUUAUUUCAGAGUAAAAAGAGGAUUCCUGCCCCAAAAACAUAUGUACAGAAACAAGAGAUGGAAAGAACAAAUGGAGGAAGAAAUAACACAACGAUAUUGAUUAGCACAAUAUGCAGUCUUUGCAGCAAAAUUAGUUGGAAGUGUCAUUUAAGUAUAGCUGUAAUCUAACAGGUUUUAUCAGAUUUAGAAGUGACAUUUCAUUAAUUUGGCCUAAAGCUUUUACCUAUGCUUUAUUAGCCCAGGCACAAACUAUGAGCUCCAGACAAUACUUGUUUGGGGUUUCCUUGGCCCAAUAACUAGUUUGGCCCUGAUAUGGUUGUGCUGCUACCCAAAUGUGCUGAUAACCUGCUAAAGAGAUGUUUCCAGAGACUGGAUUGCUGCUCACCCUGAGAGUAUUUUCUCGGUCCUGUUCAUUUCAUCACUUUAAUUGUUUUGUUAUAGAAAUUUUACGGAAAAGAUCUUGAAGGAAUGUAUGAACACACCAUUUUAAUGCCAGUGGUGUAAAUGAGACACUUGUGGCCAUUCUCAGGAAAAAUCCAAAGGUCUGUGGACUCAGGCUACCAAAUAUUUCAUUCAGCCUGUUGCAGAAGUAUUUCUUUUCCAGCUGAGUAUGCAGGUGCUGUUUUCUUCUUACACAAUAUGUCUAGGUCUGAGCUGUUUUUUAAGCCUUCGUUCCUAAUCAGAAGUUCACGUGAUGUUCUUGCCACUGUCUCUUACUGAUGUCCUUAGAGAAAGUCCCGUCUAACGAGAGAGAGCAACCUCUAAAACCUUAUUAGACUUAUUCUCUCUUCUCAGCAGAGCUAUUACCAGCCUGCUUUUUGUCAGCAGUUUGUGAACCAACUCAUCCAUGCAGUCAUCCUCUCAUAUGGGAAGAGACACAUGAUUCUCUUUUAUGUUGCUUCAUAUGCAGUCAUGCUACAGCAGGUGAAUGGGAAAAACACAGGAGCAGAUGAAGCAGAUGGUAACUGGAACUUCACUCUGUUGCCAGGACUGUUAUAAACUCAGGCUCUAAAAUCCCCCAGCUGUCCUAAGAACGGAAGCUGUUUUGGGGAUUCACAGCUGAAGGAGGAUCAGCUUCACCCUCCUCUCAGCAAGCGGAAACGUUCGAGCCUUUGGAAUGGGAACAUGCGCGUUCCCAGCGAGCCACGAGAUGGCACCCACAGCCCCAUUCCCCGUAUCCCUGAACAUCUGCAGAAUUCCAGCCCUUCAGAGAGGUUACAGAGGAUGCAGCUCCUUCCACUUCAUCAAAGUCGGAGGAAGCCUGUGAUUAGCUGGAUGUUUACAAAUAAAAGGAGGAUCUGGAGACAGAUCAAAGAGAACUCUCCAGAUUUGGCACAGAUACCAUAUACUUGUGCUAACAGCAUCUGCAUGGGUUCAACUGUUACAUGAAGUCACUGAACUUGGUGUAUCUCAUCAUAUAUUAAAAAUGCUUUUUAAUGCUUAGUGCAUUUAUUAGAACUCUGAAGAGUCAGCCAGCUAAGGACCUGACAAAAACGAAAAAACAACACCUCCCAGCUAACAAGAUCUUACAGGCUCCAUUUAAGAGAAGCACCCACUGGGUUCUUCCUCACCCUGCUUUCUGCAGUGUAAUCAAGAAGCAAAGCACUGUUCCAAAAUCCAAAGGCUGUAGUACUUCAGACUCAGUAAACAGGAGCAGUAGCACUCAAAGCCUGUUCUCCAGCGAUCUAAGUAGUUUGGCUGGCCCAAUCACACCAUGUAUGCUCUUCCCUGGAAAGUCUAUAGUUCAUCCAGGAUCUGAGUUACUUUGGCACAGCCCAAAUGACGGGGGAGAGAAGCAGAUGGGAGAUAAAAGAUGUGGUGUGUGAACUACACUGAGUUAAUGUAUAUCUGUUCUAAGGGACAUCUUUGUUUUGACUCUGUGUAACAAACCAACAUAGCUUGUGAGGUCUGGAAGGCCACACUAGACUAUUCCUACUCUCAUAGUAGUGCUCUGUUUGAAGUUGGUAUUUCUAUUUGGGGUCUAAAGCCACACUGAACUUGAUCAAAUAAACAUUCUCCAAAGGAAA